GAUGAACGCUAGCUACAGGCUUAACACAUGCAAGUCGAGGGGCAGCAUAAAACUAGCUUGCUAGUUUUGAUGGCGACCGGCGCACGGGUGAGUGACGCGUAUCCGACCUACCCAUAACUCGGGCACAGCCGCUCGAAAGAGCGAUUGAUUCCCGAUAUGUCUUUAGAGUAGAUCUAAUGAUGAAAGAUUCAUCGGUUAUGGAUGGGGAUGCGUAAGAUUAGGUAGUAGGCGGGGUAACGGCCCACCUAGCCGACGAUCUUUAGGGGUUCUGAGAGGAAGGUCCCCCACACUGGUACUGAGACACGGACCAGACUCCUACGGGAGGCAGCAGUGAGGAAUAUUGGUCAAUGGGCGGAAGCCUGAACCAGCCAAGUAGCGUGAAGGAUUACAGCCCUACGGGUUUUAAACCUCUUUUAUAUGAGAGUAAUGUGCACUACGUGUAGUGUAUUGCAAGUAUCAUAUGAAUAAGCAUCGGCUAACUCCGUGCCAGCCGCCGCGGUAACAC
rnacentral:rRNA from 1 species